GAAGAGCUACCCUGACCAUGCCUGCUGUGGCUCAUUCACAUUACACAAUUCAAAGUUGGCAAACGUGGUGACUAAGCAAGCAAAAAGCUUGGCUAAAAACUCACAUAUUCAAAUCGAUCCUUGCAGAGCUGAACCAUCAGGUGCAGAAAGACAAGUCCGGCAAACCAGAGGCACCACAUGACCACCUCUUCCACUGUCUGGACAUUCAGCACACCAAAGAUGAAAAUGAACUUGUAGAAAAUAAAAUUCCAAAAUUUGUCUUUGAGAUGCUAAAAAAGAAAAAUGUUUAUGAAGAGAUGGGGCCUCCCUCUGUUGCUAAGGCUGGUCGCAAACUCCUGGGCUCAAGUGAUCCCACCUUGGUCUCCCAAAAGAAUGCUUUUAUAUGUAAUUUGGAACCAUGUAAAUGUUUCACAAAUUCAAAAAAUAAACACAAAAAAGCAAAAUAUACUACAAAUUAACAACGUGACUCCUUAAAGAUUUUGAGAACUUAAACACACUGUACUCUGACCAGAUAUCUUUUGUAGAGAACAAAAUAAAGUGGAAAAAAAU
ensembl:lncRNA novel transcript, antisense to AMFR